AGUCUUAUAGCUCAACCGGAUAGAGCAACUGCCUUCGAAGCAGCAGGUUAUAGGUUCGAAUCCUAUUAGGACUA
rnacentral:tRNA from 1 species